CCUGUCAUUAAAAAGUUUAUACGUAUUUAAUUAUUAAUUUGACAGUAGAGGAGAAAAUGAUUUUCAUCUUCUAAGGUUUUACAAGUUGGACAAUUUCUAUUGCCUCGAGGUAUUUUGAGAUAUCGACCUAUCUCUAUGAGUAAAUAAUGGUCACUUAUUCUAAUUUUUGUAAAUAAACGUCUAGUUUCAAAAUUUGGAUAUCUUAGAUAAAAUUAUUGGUCUUGUUUGACUUAAAUAUUUUUAUCAAGUUAAAGUUAAUUAUUUUCGUUUAAACUGUUUAUUUCUUGUGUAGAACCUUUGAUAAAAGUGAACAAAGUAUAAAUGCCUUGGUCCAUAAUCAAGGUAUUUACUUAAUGUAUAACUUUCUUUUAGUAAUGGAUUUAUGUUUGUUUAGUAUUUAAUCUAGCCCAAUAAAGAAUUGCUUGUGUUUUUAUAUGUUUUUUCUAUUGGUUGUCCACCAAGUUCAGCACCAAAAUUAGCAGAUGUAUUUAAGUACCCAGAAUAAAUUUACAGACAU
rnacentral:lncRNA from 1 species